CGAAAACUGAAUGCAAUGUACCACGUAAUUUACGUAUAAAUUAAUUUAAUGAGAAAUAUACGCUGUUUCCAAUGUUAUGAAUUUUUGAUAAUGAAUAAUUUCUAUCUUCCUUUUACUAUUUUCUGAAAGCCGAUCAUUUAGAAGGUUUUGUAUAUCAAUCGUCAUGUGAUUUGUUUUCAGGUCAUCAUGGAUGAUAUGUCUGCAGAUGAUAUCCUGCAUUGAUUCCUAAAACAAUCUACACUCCUGCAGAAAUCUGCAUGGGAUUGAUCAUGUGAUGCGAAAUUAUUCAUUACUCUCACGAAAAAAAUACCUAUAAAGAAAUGUCUAAAAAUAGCGAGUUGACAGUUAAUUCGUUAUCGGAAGUAAAAAAUUCAACAGAACAGGAAAGAAAGUGCGAAAAGAUGAUAACCAAAUGGAAAGAAGAAAUAAGAGACUGGUCUGCUUCAUCAUUAAAUAUAAGCCAACUUAAAGAAGAUAAUUAUCCAAAUUGGAAGAACUUACCUUCAUUUGUUUUGCUCCUAGUAAGUAUAGCCUAAAUUAGAGAAGCAAAAUCUACAGACUUAUUAAAAUUGCAUGAUAAGGGGAG
rnacentral:lncRNA from 1 species